AGCGAACAUAGACAAAGUUUUGCGUAAUCUUACAGUACACUUUGCCAAUUUUGUCAAAGAAAGCGUUCCAAAAUUCGAGAUAGUAUGUCCAUUGAUCGAUGACUUUUGUGCUGCAAAAACUGAAUCACAGAAAUACAAUGAUUUUUAUAAGUCCAUAUUUAACAUUGAUGUAGAAACACCAUUCAUAUGAAAUAGUAGAAUUACGUUUGAAUAUUUUGUUUAAUCUUAUUAAAAUAAA